ensembl:lncRNA
ACUUUCAACUGAUUCAAUUUUGCUCCACAAGACAUUGUAUCUGAGCCUUUCUGGAGACUAUUCAAAGCAAAUCAUUUUCAUUUUACCAUUUGGAGGUGCUUUUCCUGUUAGUGAUCCCUAUAUAGCACCGGAUUUGUGCAGCAGCCCACAGACUGCGUCCCAAGCAGAGUUUAUUCCCAAGAAUAGGUACCUUAGGAAAUCCUGGGUUAUGAUAGACUCUUGGAAUUCAGCUUAAUACCACCACCAGGCUGCGGAAGAGACACCAUGCAGACAUAGAGAUAAUUCACAGCUUGGGUUCUUUUCAAAGUCGCGUGCCCACUGCCAAGAGGAUCAGACCCACGGAAUCCCACUUGUUCAAUCCUGCUGCUGUGUGCCUACCAGGACACACUCAGGGGCUGCUGAGCCAGCAUCCAAGCGCAGAUUCCGAGGACACAUAAAGUUCUCCCUCUGUACUGCGGAGCUGUGCCCGUAGGUACCGUGAAUGGACACAGUUUUCCAGGCAGGCAUCAGAGGAGAGCAUGCCACUUGGACCAGCAGCGUAUCACAUCAACACAACUGCGUGGACAAGUCUUCAUAAGUGCUCGAUUUCUAUGCAAAAUGGAAAAACAGAUAGAAAACAAGGCCCCAUGGAUGGUAAACUAUGAAAUGUCCAACACAAGCACAUGCCAAGGGCCAGGACUGCAGCCAGUUUCUGUGCUGGACUGAGCUUUUACUUUGCUUCCCAUCUCAGUUGUUCCUGGUUACGCUGCUCCCAUGUGCUCUCACACCUCUGAACACUGAUUUUGGGUCUCAGAACUCUGGGACUGACUUCUCUCAUGCCAACAUCCAUCCAGAAUAACACAACCAAUUGGAAUUAUCCCUGAAGCACUGGCAGGCAAGAGAAGCACGAACCCAAUGAUUCAUCUUUUAGUUAGGCAGUUAUCUCUAUUACAACAGAAACCCAAUUUUCAGGCCUUUUCUUAGACUUCACCUAGCCAGACUCCCCUGUUGCUGACUUUGGGGAGGUCCCACUGAGAUCAGACCCCCCUGCGAUGUUCUUACAGUGUGGGCAGGUGGUGGCGAUGGUUCUUGGUCUCAUGACAUUUAUGUGUCAGAGCAGGAUGUUACCUGUGAGCUUGUAUCAAACGCAGCAUCCAUCCGGAGAUUACCUCUUGUGCAGGACUCUACACAGCAGGGCAGUUUUGGAAUAAGUUUGGAGACUUUCAAGGAAGAUCCCUCUGGGAUGGGGUCAUCUUGCCAACAAAAGGCUGAUUCACAGAUGAGAUGACUAAGUACACCAAGCAUUCCUAGGCCCCUGCGUUACUCACAGGUCUUUCAUCUGACGCCAUGUCCCAGCGCAGCCAAAAGGCAUGGUGCAGCCAAGUGACAGCAGAGGGGAGCCAUGAUGGGGGAGGCCCCAGGUCCUUCCCCUGCCACCCCAUCACUCACAGCUGCUGAGGUCCCUUCCCUACCCACUGAGGCCCCUUUCCUACCUGCAUCUGUCCAGCUUUGGAGAAAGACAUGCCAUGAGACCUGGAGGCAGCCAAGAGCAGUCUCUGGUAUGUAUGCAAAAGCCUCCAAAUGUCUUUAUCCUCG